rnacentral:rRNA from 1 species
UAUGCCCUACGGGGCGCAGCAGUGGGGAAUAUUGCACAAUGGGGGAAACCCUGAUGCAGCGACGCCGCGUGGGUGAAGAAGUAUUUCGGUAUGUAAAGCCCUAUCAGCAGGGAAGAAGAAUGACGGUACCUGACUAAGAAGCACCGGCUAAAUACGUGCCAGCAGCCGCGGUAAUACGUAUGGUGCAAGCGUUAUCCGGAUUUACUGGGUGUAAAGGGAGCGCAGGCGGCACGCUAAGCCUGAUGUGAAAACCCGCGGCCCAACCGCGGGAGUGCAUUGGGAACUGGCGGUCUAGAGAACCGGAG